UACGGGGGGGGCAAGCGUUGUUCGGAAUUACUGGGCGUAAAGGGCUCGUAGGUGGCCAAUUAAGUCAGACGUGAAAUCCCCAAGCUUAACUUGGGAACUGCGUCCGAUACUGGAUGGCUUGAGUUUGGGAGAGGGACGCGGAAUUCCAGGUGUAGCGGUGAAAUGCGUAGAUAUCUGGAGGAAUACCGGUGGCGAAGGCGGCAUCCUGGACCGGAAUUGACACUGAGGAGCGAAAGCCAGGGGAGCAAACGGG
rnacentral:rRNA from 1 species